GCUCAGAUAAAUUUGAAUUUCAGAUAAAUGAUUUUUUUUGUAUUAAUAUGUCUUGUGCAAUAUUUGGGACAUACUUAUACUAAAAAGCUAUUCGUUGUUUAUCUGAAAUUCAGAUUUAACUGGGCCCCCUGUAUCUU
rnacentral:miRNA from 1 species